UCUCCCUUGCAGCCGCGUCCUCCCUUCUCUCUCUCUCCCGACCUCUCGUCCCCUCUUUCUUCUUCUUCCCUCUGCAAGCGCCAGAAGCCACUAUCUCCGGCCACCACCUUGCAAAAUCGCCACCACCCAUCAAUGCAGCACGAAGAUGCGACCCAAACCCAAGAGAAAUUGAAGCCAUGCAUCGACCCCAACCUCUCUCUUUCGUUCUCCUUCUCUCUGACACCGCCGGAGACUCCAGCUCCGGCCACCAUCUCACCACACCAUCACCACUAAUCGAACCAGCACCAAAAUCUGACCAAAGCCCAACUGAGAUCACCACCAAGCAUCGUCGUUAAUCUCCACAGACGACCACCACAGUCCCGCCGGGUUGGCCGGCCAGAGCUUCCAUCUCCGACCAUCAUUUCAACACACCGCCGACACCAACGUGCCCAGACCAAACCGAGCAUUGAAACCCCAAAGUUUCGCUGACGAUCGACGCCGGAAGACUACCGCACGCAUCGUCACCGGAGUAUUGCCUCUGCAUGUCUUCGCUUUCCGGCCUCCAGUUCAAACCGAGCGAAACCACCAUCAAGAAUCGAGUCAGCGCCUUGUCAAACACCAAAACCCUAGGGCCCCGACCUCCGACUCAGACCAGAGCCGCCGUACGCGCUUCACGCGCCACUGCUGGCGUAUGAGCCACCGCAGCUCCACCGCUCAUGGAUGCCGAAUUUCCAGAUAGUUUCGAUUAGGUUGAAGGAGUUCUGCAUUUUUGGAGGACUUCGGGUAUGUGGAGUUCGGGAAUUUGGAGUUUUGGAGGAGGAGGAGGAGCUGCUGGGUUAAUUUCAGUUGAAACUGGAGAAGGUGUUUACACGACUAUGGGUGGUGGAUUGCAGCAUUUGGAAUUAGCUUUCAGUUUGGAAAAGAAGAAUUGGUAAGGGUCCGGGUUUUGAAUCUGCUGUUUGGUGAAACUAUUAUGGUUGUAAUCUGUUGUUUGAUCGAUGAAUGAGUAUGGUUAAUGUGUGAAAUUUUUAGUAGCAACUAUGUGACUCGGUUAAGUCUUA